rnacentral:rRNA from 1 species
AUUGAACGCUGGCGGCAGGCCUAACACAUGCAAGUCGAGCGGAUGAAGGGAGCUUGCUCCUGGAUUCAGCGGCGGACGGGUGAGUAAUGCCUAGGAAUCUGCCUGGUAGUGGGGGAUAACGUCCGGAAACGGGCGCUAAUACCGCAUACGUCCUGAGGGAGAAAGUGGGGGAUCUUCGGACCUCACGCUAUCAGAUGAGCCUAGGUCGGAUUAGCUAGUUGGUGGGGUAAAGGCCUACCAAGGCGACGAUCCGUAACUGGUCUGAGAGGAUGAUCAGUCACACUGGAACUGAGACACGGUCCAGACCCCUACGGGAGGCAGCAGUGGGGAAUAUUGGACGAUGGGCGAAAGCCUGAUCCAGCCAUGCCGCGUGUGUGAAGAAGGUCUUCGGAUUGUAAAGCACUUUAAGUUGGGAGGAAGGGCAGUAAGUUAAUACCUUGCUGUUUUGACGUUACCAACAGAAUAAGCACCGGCUAACUUCGUG